AUUAAGGUUAUUUUUUAGUUUUUAGAUACAAUGUUUUAACUUUUUAUCUUAUUUGAAAUAUUUUUGCGAUUAAUAAUUUUAUUGUUACUAGAUGAUAAAAUAUAAAUAGUGCUUUAUGCGUGACUAAUUAUUUUUAAUUUUUUAUACAAAAUUUUUAAAUAAAACAAAUGGUCAUAGCGUUAGACAUAGAAAUCGAAAAAUAAAGUUAUU
rnacentral:pre_miRNA from 1 species